GAAAAGUGAUGAAAGGUAAGUCUUAAUGUGAGACUUUUCUCACCAUAAAUCUGAAAAUUUCCUGUUAGGUUUUAGCAUUCUUUACCAAUGUCUUAUGCUUCAGUCGGUAUGUCUUCGUGUACAAAAGAUUGUAAAUAUGAUGUAUUUUUGAGUUUUAGAGGUGAAGAUACACGCAAAACCUUUGUGAGUCAUCUCUAUGAUGCUCUGCACAGAAAAGGAAUUCAUGUUUUCAAGGAUGAUGAACGACUUGAAACUGGAAAAUCAAUUUCUGAUGAACUUUUAAAAGCCAUAGAACAGUCCAGAAUUGCGAUUGUCAUAUUCUCCAAAAGCUAUGCAUCGUCAACAUGGUGUUUAAAGGAGCUUGCACACAUCAUAAAAUGCCGAAAUGAAUUGGACCAGAAUGUGAUUCCAAUUUUUUAUGAUGUGAGUCCAUCAGAUGUACGCCUUCAAAAUCCCCCAUUCGCGGAGGCAUUUUCCCAACACGGGGAAGAAUUCAAAGAUGAUGCGGAAAAGAUUAAAAAUUGGAAGGAUGCAUUUGUGGUUGCUGGAAAAAUAGCAGGGCAUGAUCUGAAAACUUAUAAGGAUGAGGCUGAUUGUAUCAAGAAACUAAUUGAUGAUAUAUUUCAUAAGUCGCUUCAAGGUAUUUUACACUUUCCGGAAAACUUAGUGGGUAUGAAAUCUCAAAUUGAGGAAGUAAUCUCAUUAUUAGAUCUGGAAUCAAAUGAUGUUUGUUUUAUUGGGAUUUGGGGGAUGGGUGGCAUCGGCAAAACAGAAAUUGCAAGUUUUCUACAUCGGAGACUCCGUCAUCAAUUUGAAGCUGACUGUUUUCUUGGUGAUGUUGGAACAUUGUAUCAGAAAAAUGGACUGACAUGGCUAGAACAAGUAGUCAUCUCCAAGCUCUUGAGAGAAAAGAUGACUCUAACUAGUAAACAUGAAGGGAUGGAUAUUAUAAAGAGUAUGCUUCAUCGGAAGAAAGUUUUGUUCAUUCUCGAUAAUGUAAACCAUCAAGAACAAUUGGAAUGUUUAGUUGGUCGAGCAGAGUGGUUUGGUAGGGGUAGCAGAGUUAUUUUAACAGCAAGAGACAAGCACCUGUUAAUUAGUCAUAUUGGGGAUAACGUGUAUGAAGUCCAAUUGUUACCUGAGAAUGAAGCUCUUGAAUUGUUCAGUAGGCAUGCUUUUAGAGAAAAAUCACCAAAGAAGGGUUUUAUGGAACUUUCAAGACAAGUGGUGGAGUAUGCUGGUGGACUCCCUUUAGCUCUUAAAGUUUUGGGCUCUUCUUUUUAUAAACGAGACAAAGAGCAAUGGAGAGACAGAAUUGAUCGAUUGAAGAAAAUCCCUCACAACGAUAUUUUGGGAAAACUUCGGAUUAGUUUUGAUGGACUAGACAAAGAGGAGAAGAGAAUGUUUCUAGAUAUUGCCUGCUUGUACAAUCAUGAAUCAAGAGAUUAUGUGGAACGAGUAUUUAAGAGUUGUGGCAUCCACUUGAUAGGAAUAGAUUAUCUUGUUGAAAAAUCUCUCUUAUCCAUCGAUAGAUAUCCUAGAAUUCUGAUGCAUAAUAUGAUUAGAAAAAUGGGUGAAAAUGUCGCAAGGGAAGAGUAUGCCAACAACAGAAUAUGGCUUCCCGAGGAGGUUCGUGACCUUUUUGCAGGAAAGAUGAAAGUAGAGAAAGUUGAAAGCAUGCGAACUUCAGAGUACCAAUAUUUUAAAGAUGAGGUGUUCAAGAAGAUGCAAAGCUUGCAGGUACUUAAAAUUGAUAAGAAAUAUGGUCUUGUCAAUCAUAGCACUAUCACUUAUCUUCCCUCUAGCUUGCGGUGGAUUGAUUGGGAGAACUAUCGUUCAAGUUCAUUGCCAGAGAAUUUCGAACCAUUAGAUCUCGUUGGGCUUUCUUUAGUAGCUGGUAGUCUUGUCAAACUUUGGCCAAUAUCAAAGAAAUUGAGCAACUUGAAGUAUUUGGAUCUAAGCGACAACCUUGGGUUAACAAAAACCCCUAAUUUUGGUGAUAUUCCAAACUUGGAGACACUAAUUUUAAAGUGGUGUAAGAAUUUGGAAGAAGUUCAUCCGUCUCUUGGACAUUGCAGAAUGCUCACUAUUCUACAUUUAAAGGGUUGUGGCAAACUCAAGAAGCUCCCAAAAUUUGUUUCCAUGGAAUCUCUUGAGACUCUGAACCUUGGAGAAUGCACAAGUUUAGAAAAGUUUCCAAAGAUCUGUGGAGAUAUGCGGAGCUUAUCAAAACUCUAUGUAGGAUCCCCUUGGAUAAGAAGCUUGCCCCUGUCUCUCUGUGGCUUAAGCUAUUUGAAUUUGAAAGAUUGUAUAGAUCUUGAAUGUAUUCCAAACACUAUUCAAAAUCUUGAAUCUCUCUGGAUUUCAGGUUGCAAUACAAUUGCAACACUGCCGAACAGCCUCUUUGAAUCAGAGAAAUUAGAGAAACUUGUAAUAGCACAUUGUUCUAGAUUGGCAGAGCUCCCCAUCUCUCUUGGAGCUCAUAAGAAGCUUCUUCGAUUAGACUUGCUUGGAUGUGAAAACCUAAAGAAGCUUCCAAGCUCCAUUCAGAUGGAAUCCCUUGUAGAUCUUCAUAUACUUAAUUGCCCAAAAUUAGAUACAUUUUCAGAAAUUAAUGGAGAUAUGUAUAGCUUAUCAGAAUUGUCCCUACAAUCUACUAGGAUUACAGAACUGCCUUCAUCAAUCGGGAAUCUAAGUGCACUCAAAUUGCUCUCUCUGGUAGGUUGUGAACAUCUUGCAAGUCUACCAAAAAGCCUCUGUAAUUUGAAUAACCUUCGAUGGCUUCGUCUCCGCGGCUGCAACAUACUAGAGAACCUUCCAGAAAACAUUGGUGAUCUGCAAGAGUUGGAGGAACUUGAUGCAAGAGAAACUGCAAUCUCCCAACUGCCUCUCUCCACCACGAAGCUGGGAAAACUGAACACAUUAAAAUUCUCACAUAAACAUUCCUCAAGUUUCGUCUUGCAUCAAGUGUCAGGUUUAUCCUCCUUGACACGGCUUCAUCUCAGUAAUUGCAACAUAUUGGGUGGACUUCCCGAGGAUCUUGGAUCUUUGCGCUCUUUGGAAUACUUGAUUGUUAAGGGAAACAAUAUUUCUUGUUUACCUAAAAGCAUCAAGAAGCUCUUAUGCCUCAAAUACCUGAACGUGCAAUUUUGUAAGAGUCUUAAUGAACUGCCAAGAGAGCUGCCCCCUAAUUUAGAGUUGCUAUAUGCAGAUUAUUGUUUAGCCUUGAAGAGCAUAAGAGACCUACUAAUUAAUUGUUUUAAAUUGAACCUGAUCUUAACAUCAUGGUGUGGUCAUGAAAAAUCUCGAUGCGGAACUAUCUCAACUAACCAAGUUAAUGUGUUGAAGUGCGUACAGCAUUUUCUCAGGGCAUGCAUCCAGUGCCACUUCCACCAAAGGACAUAUUUUUGCAUUUCUUUUCCUGAAGGCAGAAUUCCAGAGUCAUCUGGUUAUCAAUUUAUAAAUCAAAGUAGGAUCUCAAUUAACCUGAACCCAUCUUGGUAUACUGACAAAUUCAUGGGUUUUUCGAUAUGUUGCUAUUCUAAUGGAUGGAAAGCUGGUGUAGAAGCUACUUUGAUCUGCAUAUCUGACCCCGAAAGAAAACAUUCCUUGAAGUGUGACAUUGACCACCAUCGGCUCAAUAGUCUUGCUCCUUCUGUCAUCUUUUUCUACAUACCAUUUAAAACAUGGUGGCUUGCAUCUGACAAUAAAGUAAGGAAGAGCCCACUUGAUUAUUGCCUAUUUGAGGUAUGUACAAUGUCAAGGAGGAAAGCAUAUUGGGGAGUUCGCCUGGAGUAUGAGAAUAAAGUUAGGAGAUGGAGAAGGAAGCACCUAGCAAUGCAAAGUUCCAAGCUCUUUGAAGUUCCGCAAAAAGAUAAUGCAAUGAUGACUGAAAUUGGCUGCUCUGUGGUAUUUGAACAACUAGAGCCGUCAUCUAUUUCUAGUCACUUGCAAGAGUCUAUUGACCAUAACUUCACUACAGAAAGGGGACUUCAUUUUGGGUUUGAAAAUAAAACUCUAGAGCUGAAUCAAGCAACAAAGGCAGUUCAAAGCGAACAUGAAUCUCAGAAUGUUGAGUUGAUUAGAAUUUGUGAUAGCCCAUUUAGGAAAAUGGUUGGUGCUUCAAGAAAGAGAAAGAGAAAGGAGAAACAAAAAGAGAAAAACAACCUCAAAUCGUUCAAAACUUUUCUGAUCAACAACAGGGACAAAUGAAACUAGGUGCUCUCAUUGUGACAACUAGCAUGAUUUUGAUUGGAUCAUGAGGAACUUCUUUGCUAGCAAAAAGGGUCACUCAAAGAAGAUAGUCACGAAGCAUCUAUUCAAUUUGAUUUUCAGAGCAGAGAAGAUAUUGUGGAGCAAUUACUCAACAUCAAAUCCGGGUGCUAGAAGCUAUGCAAGUUUGUUGCUCCUCUAAUUCUUCAUUUUCUUUCUUGAUUCUUUCGGCCUCUGCUUCUAUGUCUCUUUCAUUCUCAGGCUACAGACCAUUUUUACUUUAUCAAUUUUUUCCCUUUAAAAUUUUAUAGUAGUAGGUGAAUUGUAAAUCAUUCAAAAGAUCUUGGGCAAAAACUUAGAAAACGAUACUACCAUUUGUAUAGAAUAUACUAUUUUAGAUAAAUAUGUGUUUUUUUAGGUUGGUGCUACGUGUCUCGGGGUAUAUUUGAUCAGAUGAAGAAAAGGGAACUUUUCUUUCUUUCUUUCUUUAUAUUCCAUGUUGGAUAUAUUUCUUGUUGAAACGUCCUUUUCAUUUUUGGAUCAAUUUGCAUUACCUACUUUAUAUGUAUGAUAUGCUGCAAGUGUUAAAUAUGAAAGCCGCUGCAUUGGAUAGGUAAAUCUAUGUGCAUACUGUGUGGAUUAGGAUGCAGUCUUCAAUUGUUUUUGCUUAUAUAUAGGUGUUUUGUGUGUUUGACUUAUUUUUAUUUUUUGCCAAAUUGCAAGUGAAUUGUCAUGUCACGGUAUUGGGAAGUAUAUAUAAUGUUACAAUAUUUUACUCGCUCACCUCCGUUUUGUUACAAAGUUCAUCAGAUAAAAGAUCAACAAAAGAUGGAAGGAUGCAAUAAGCUUUAUGAUAAAAGAAAUGGAAUUUGGUCUAACUCAACCUCAAAAACUAGCUAGUUCAAGAGGUGAGGAUUGUCCUAGACUAUAUAAAGAGACAAACUUUAUUUUAUUUUCUUGCUAGCUGAGGCAAGUUUGAGUGUCUGUUUAUGUAUUAUGCCUAUAUUAAAAGAGAAACUUUUGAAUUCAGAAUGACUUCCACCAAAGGGAUAAUAUCAGUAUCUUUCCCUGAAGUCAGAAUUCCAGAGUCAAUUCAUAUAUCAGUUUACUAAUCAAAGAAGGAUCUCAAUUAAUCUGAAUCCAUCUGAGUAUACUGAUAAAUUCAUGGGUUUCUUGAUUUGUUGUUAUUUUAUUGGCGAGGAUACUGAUGUAUUCGCUACAUUGAUCUGCAAAUCUUACCCUGAAAGAAACCAUUCCUUGUGGUGUUCCGGUUAUCCAUUUGUGUACAAUGAUCUUAUCAUGAAUUGCACCUACGUACCAUUUAAAACAUAGUGACACGCUUCUGGCAAUAGAGAAGGAAGAACCCAAAUGUUUAUUGCGUAUUUGAGGUAUCCAAAAGGACAGAGAAGGAAAUGUAUGCUGGAGAAUUCUCCUGGAAUAUGAGCAACUAGAGCCAUCACGUCCUUACAGCUCACAUGCAUCUGUUUAACAUAACACGUGGCAACAGAAACGGAACUUCAUUUGGGGUAUAAAAAUAAAGUUCAAGGGAUGAAUCAAGCAACAAAAUGUCAAAUUGUUGAGCUGAUUGGAGCUUGUGUUGGCCCAUCAAGUAAAUGGGCAAUGCUUCAAGAACGAGGAAGAGAAAGACCACAACAAAUGGUCCAACUCUUUCCAGAUCAACAGCAGGGACCAAUGAAACUAGAUGAUUUCAUUGCACCAACUAGCAUAUGACUGAAAGAACAAAAUCAAGAAGCAUCUAUUCAAUUGGAUAUUUAAAAUAACGAAGAUGUAAUGGAGCAAUUAAUCAACAUCAGCGCCAUGCAAGGAACUAUGCAAGUAAGCCUGAGUUUCCUUGAGACAAUGCUUAUUGGAAUAUUGGUUACACCAUCAGGUACCCCUUCUUUUUGGAAACAUUGAUAUAUAUCUAUGCUUUUUGUAAGGAAUGAUUGCCGAAUAAUACGAAAUGAUUUUGAUAUAUAUUUUUCUAUGUGUUUGAUGUUUAAUCUAGCAGUUCUCACUGAGCGAGUUUGCCCUGAAAAAUAUGCAACAAAGCAAGCAGAGGCUGGUUCAGUUGAAAUUUCUUAAAGAGUAUUACUUGUGUGAAAUAUUAUGUUGGAAUUAUUUGUUUUGUUCUGGAACAACCAAAUGAACUCCUCUUUUAAUCAAUUCUUGAAAACAAAACUACGGUUCAAUGAAAAUUAAGCGGUGACAAUUGAGAGGUUAUCACUAAAUAUUUCUAGUCCCAGGAACAAGGUCAAAGGGCAAGGCAAGCCAUAUGCUCAUUUGACUCCUCAUGGUCCAAACAAGGUCAAAUCUCUGGCUUUACAUAAAGGUCUGAUGAUGCCCUUAUCUAAUUCCAUAAUGUUUCAACACCAAUUUUGUAAGCUUCCAAUAGGAGUACCAAAAGAGGAGCUAUUGAGAGAAGGGUUGCAGCUGGAGCUGAUGCUGAAACACGUAGCUAUUUUACCAGACGGCAACAGGAGAUGGACCAAGGAGAGGGGUUUGUCACCGGAAAAAGGUCAUGAAGCAGGGAAAAAUGUGCUCGGAGAUCUAUGUCGUUAUUGUUCAAAAUGGGGAGUCAAAGUUCUUUCUGCUUACGUUUUUUCUACUGAGAAUUGGUCAAGGCCAAAGGUUAGUCCGAGUUUUAGUUAUUUUAUUACUUAAUAUGUCGUUAUAUGCUUCCCGAUGCCUUGACGUUAAACCAGCUCACAUCUCCAACGCUCUCACCACACGUCCUGAUUUUUUGUGUCAACUGGAGUGAACUCCCUCCAAGCAGAGCUACUUUGAAAGGCUUAUUGAGGAAUUCUUGAGGUUUGGGAUGAAAAUGUCCAUUAUUGGGGACAGGUCUAACCUUCCAAAUUCUCUGAAAAAAAUGUUAAAAUUACCUGUGGACAGUGGAAACCACAAAGGACAACACAGGGCUUCAUUUUGUGGCAGCACUUAAUUAUGGUGGAAGACAUGACAUAUGACAAGCAACUAAAAAGAUUGCCAGUAAAGUUAAAGAUGGAGUUAUUCAAUUAGAGGAUAUUAAUGACAAGUUAAUU